rnacentral:rRNA from 2 species
UACAGCGAAACUGCGAAUGGCUCAUUAUAUAAGUUAUCGUUUAUUUGAUAGUACCUUACUACUUGGAUAACCGUGGUAAUUCUAGAGCUAAUACAUGCUAAAAAUCCCGACUUCGGAAGGGAUGUAUUUAUUAGAUUAAAAACCAAUGCCCUCUGGGUCCUUGGUGAUUCAUGAUAACUUCUCGAAUCGCACGGCCUUGCGCCGGCGAUGGUUCAUUCAAAUUUCUUCCCUAUCAACUUUCGAUGUUUGGGUAGUGGCCAAACAUGGUUGCAACGGGUAACGGAGGGUUAGGGCUCGACCCCGGAGAAGGAGCCUKAGAAACGGCUACUACAUCCAAGGAAGGCAGCAGGCGCGCAAAUUACCCAAUCCCGAUUCGGGGAGGU